GCCGCCCAGCCGCGGUGGCUGUACGGUCGUUUUGGACUGCCCUGCCGAUGUUGUCUCCUCAUGACGGGCCAGGCCGUCCCCCGGGGUGGCCCGGGGAACCGUGAGAAAGCCCUCUGCUGCCAUGAGCCGCCGAGGAGCUGCCCCCGCUGCGUCCUACGUGGGUUUCAACGUUACCGGCACUGCCAGGGGAAGCCCUCGGGAAAGAAGAAAAAGGCUGAAGAAGAGCAGUUGCACAAGGGGCUCGGCUGCCGCCGGAGUGUGGGAGGGGGCGGGCGCCGGUGAAUCAACUAAGAGGCAGAUGAUCCAAGUGAUUCAUGCUGUGAUACAGAAGAGGUGCCAGAAAUGGAGAUUUAAACUAGCUCUUUCCUGAUGGUAUUUCUAAGCUCAUCUGCAGCAUGUUGAAGAGACUGUAUCUCAUGUAAAAAUCUUGAAAGGACUGCUUUUGUAGUGAGAAGAUAGAGUAUGACUAGCAUCCAGGAAGUGAGUGGUAAGUUAUAAUUGUAAUGAAAUCUAUGUCAGUGCUGAAGUGAGUUUAAAACAUUCUUGUCAAACUCUGAAGCAUGAAUUAACAUCAAACAAUUGCUUCUCAGUAAUGUAUCUGACUUACUGGCUUUAAUUUUUCCAGAUGCAGCUGAAUCAGCUCCAUUUUCUUACGGUACUUCAGUUUGUAGUCUUAGUACUACAGAAAGAGUGUGUCAUGAAAACUAUCUGCUUCUCCCAAUCUUUUCC
rnacentral:lncRNA from 1 species